ACCUUGCUGAAGAGUUCCAAGUAGUACGAAACCCGGGUUCAGGGU
rnacentral:hammerhead_ribozyme from 1 species